CUAAAGAGAAUCAUCUGCUCUAGAGGGCAGUCCACAAACCAGGAGGAUCCUUGGGUUCUUCUCCAAGAAGCCAAAGUGGUCCAGGACAAUGUUCUAGAUCAGCCCCCUUUUUGACUCAGGAAACUGUUGUAACCAUACGUGGUCUCCAACUCUGCAGAUAACCCUUCCAGCCUAUCAGAAAGGAGGCAAGUUGAAGUCCAUGGCCAGAGAAACCCUGAAAGCCCUAAGGCUCAUCAGCAACUAUGGAGAAAGGAAGAAAAAAAUUUUUUUAAUGUAGUCAAGAAAUCACUCAACACCAAGAAUGAACAGAACUGGUGUGAAGGUGACCCAUGGAUGUGGUAUCUCAACUACCUUUUUGGCAGCACACCUCUUCAGAAGUGGAUGCUUCGCACAACCAGCAUGAACCUCUACAGUAGCUAAGCUGCUCAGCUGUAAGCCUAUGAAGUCAGGCCAACAUGGGCCAGUGUCACAUCUGAGAAUCAUUACAAAGUUAAAGACAUCACAUCACUCAUUCCUAAUACUUCAAAAUGCAGCUCCUGAAAUAAGGACAUACUCUUAAUAACCAUGAUACCAUCAUCACACCUUUUGAAACUGGAGUUUUACUUCCUCAAGAGCAGGAACAACGUGUAAACAUUUUUAACCCAGGAAAGAGAAAAAGAAAUAAGCAUAUUAUAUAUCAACCACUGUGCUGGGAGGGUUCCCACAUAUGCUCUCAUUCCAAUUCUGACAAAAGCUUUUCAAGAUAACUUCAAGAAGUCCAUUAUUUUCUUCUUACUGAACAAGAACUAAUUCCUCUGCGGAUUUGUGUGGCUGUAGUACUGCUUCUGGACAGCAGAGGUCACUAUUAACAGCCAACUAUUGCAUUCUGGACCAAGAGAUUAAUGGAAUCAUGGUUAGAGUGAAAAAGAACCUAGUGAACCAAAGGAUGAUAAAUGAGUAAAUAAAUUUCAAAGAAAAAAAUUUAAAGAGAGAAAAAAUUGUGCCUGAAAAGGAAGAUGAAUAGAAACAUAGAUCUGGCAAUCAAAUUUGAGCAUCAUAUACACUUAUGGAUAAUAUAAAAAAGAAAAGAAAAGAAAACCUUCCAAAGAGAUAGUUUAAUCCCAAAGAGAAUCUUUCAAACAGAAAAUCUUUCACAGUAUUUUAUUGACACAAUUUUCAAGUUUUCAUUGAAUUGCAAUUAAAAUGCUAAACAAAUUUUAGGGCUGCUGUUUCAUUAAGGCGUCUUCAUCAAAUAACGAAUAAAUGAUAUGAUAGAGUGACCACCAAAGAGAAAACCAUGACACUCUUCUUCAUUAACUAGCUGCUUCCAAAAAAGGGUCAGGGAGCUCUACUCUGGGGAUGUUGGAUUAUUGACUUGAGAGGCCUAAGAAAGAACUCAUUGGUACUCCAGAAUGCACCUGCUUCAAGGAAGGGAUCCAACAGCUCCAGCAUUCAUCUCCUCUGACACCCUCUGCUGGAAGUGCUAAUGAGCAAUUGAAAACCUGGAUGAGAAGGCAGUUGUUUCACAGAGCUCUGUGGGAACCUUCAUCAAGGCUGCUCCAUCUUAGAGCCUACUUCCUGCUCCCUGGCAGGCUGUUCUUCAGAGCCUCACCAUCACUGACAAAGGGGCUGGGCCCAGGGGCUCUGAGCUCCAAUUCCAGCCCCACUGAACAAAGAAAAUGGCCCAGAAAGAUAAAUUCUCUUGCUUCAGGUGACAUAGCUCAAACAUGGCAGCACUAGGAUUCUAACCCUACUUGGGCUCCAGAGUCUCAACUCCUUUCACAGCAGCUAUACUGCCUUUGCACAGGGUUACAGCAAGGACCUAGGCAAUACUCCUGGACAAGGACAAGUUUCUUCUCACACAGAUGAUCACCCAGAAGGAUGCUCACAGCUUCAAGUGAGAGAUAAACAUUUAUUUAAGUGUAUGGAGGUAUCAGUAUGGACAAAGAUAUUGGAUUUUUAUGAACUUCUAACAUAGCACUUGGCACAUACUGAUGGGAACGUCUUUAAAAAGCCAAGAACCAGAAUAUCACCCCAAGACAUCUGGUCCUCUCAUCCUUUAGUGAAGUGCAGAUGGAGACUCCUAUGUGGUCUUGUAAAGAAUGAUGGAGAACCACUAGUCAAACGAAAGAAUAAUGGGAAAGCAGCUGAAUAAUAGCUUCAGAACUUUUUGAUUAUUUGUUAUAACUAAUACAUGAAAAAAAUUAAGAUUAUCACAGUAUUUGGGAACCCUCGGCUAAAGAGAUGUCUUUACAAAGCGAGAGCUAAGAGACUUUUAACUAAGACUGCCUUGAAUACCUCCAAGGAGGUUCAACUCAUUUAGGAAAUUCAAGGAAGACAGGUUCUGUGACCCAGAAGCGCCAACCCAGCCACCACUGUGCCCAGGUAGCAGCCCUUUUGAAUCAAGGUAUGGAAGCUCAAAGGAAAUAACUUCUGGAGGCCUCCACAUCCAAGUGUAAAAUGUUGAGUGAGGGCAAACAACACAUCCACAUUUGACACCCCUCCCCAAGGCACAAAUUUAGGCCCUCAGAGAACCUACAAGUCCCCAAAGGACAAGAGACUCUGGGGUGAACUCUGAUGGCAGAAGUUCCUUAUGGCUGGAUGGGUAUCUCAGCACAUGAUCCCCAGAUAUGUCAGUGAAUGUGCAGACUGCUCAGCCACCAAUGUUGACGGGACUUCGAAUUAUAUCACAGAACUUAAUUGGAAAAAGCUCAACCAUCCCAUGGAUUUAGCUCCUUCCUGUUUCUUUGGAGGUGACCUCUCACAGUGCCUACCUGCUCUCUCAGAAACCUUCGGGAACUGAAAUGAAAGGAAGCACGCAGACAUCUGUUGUGGAAAAGAGCAGUACCUGAGACGAAUGUCAGGGCCAGAAUUAAGCUGAUUGGCACACAUUAAAAUGCAACAUAAUGGUGUAUUUGUCGAGGUGGCCCUCUCCUGCAGUUGGCACACGAGGAAUAAUGAUGGCUUACUGACAGAAGCAGGGACUCAGCCGCUUGAUAACAUUGUCAAGCUGAUGGUUUGAAGUGGCCCCAACAUCGCCUGCAUUUGGCUGGAAACAGCAGCCAUUCACUGUCUCAGGCAGGGUGCUGAAAAACAGACCCACAGCCCUAAACAACGCUGUCCAUUUUGAAAGGCUUGAGUAAAAGCAGUCUCUGCCAUAAUUUCCAUUGUCAUUCUUCCCCCACUGUUUAUAUAAUAUGGUCAGGAGUGGGACUGUAAACUAAUAUUACAUUCAGGAGCCUCAAACAACAAACACCAGCGCUGGGUUUUCCGGGGAGAGGAUUACCAAGCUUCCUACAGUGGCAGGCUCGCCAUGGCACACACAGCCACCUGCCUUAUUAAAGCCGUCCUUUCCUGGGAAAAGAACAUUGCCACAGAAAUAAUGCAUUAAUUUGGCAUUUCCUUCGGUCUCACUCAGCACGCAGUGUGCUUCUCUAAGCAUGAAAACAGCACAUCUUCACAGAAACAUUUCUAAAAUGAUGUGCCUACUCAUAGAAAAGAUCAAUUUGAAUAGAUUGAGUCCCCAAGAGGGCAAUUCAAUACAAAAAGUUCUCAAGUAAAGUUAAGACAGAUUGUCCAACCAGUUUUCGAGCCCAGCACAGACCUUUACCCUUGCCCGUAUUUUAGCUUAUAGACCCCCUCUUUCUCUUUCCCUCUCUUGCAAUGUAUAUAUACACACACAGACACACUUAUUUUAGCUCUCUGUAUACUGAGAACAAAGCUCUUGCUAUGUCAGCAUAAAAGCUGUUGCUGUUGAAGUGAGAAAAAAAAAAGUGUGCUCUAAUAUAGGGAAUGGAAACAUAAAGUUAUUGAAUGUGACUUUUGCCUGAGAGGCUGUAUUUGGGUUGUUGAAAGUUAGAAAAAGAGAGAUGAAAUAGGAUUAUAAGGGGAGGGUGUAGGGAUUGGGAGAGAAAGGGAGUGACAAAGAUUGGCUGAUUAAAAUGCUAGCUAGUGGGUACUGUGUUGAAAACUCAGAUUUGAGAGGUGAAAGGCCAGACCCGGUGCAGAACAGCCAAAAUGGAAUUAGAGCUUUAACGUACAAUUAGCAGACUGAGGGCCAGAAGCUACACGUUGCAACAAGGAAGUGACAAUUAUAAACAGCUCAGGAAAGGAUGGAAAUCCAGAAGUGAUAAUGUGCUGCUGAGAAGGGAGAAUGGAACUCCCUGGAUCAAGUACAAGAGGACAAACACACAACCCACCAAAACUAGGGCACAUUAAGUGAAAAAUCUGAUAGCUGUGUGUGGCUUUUUUUCCCCCCUUCUUCUUUUGUUUUCAUUCUUAGGGCAAGUAUUGUUGCCACUGAAUUUACCAGGUUGGUUUUUGCCUGGCAGCCGCCUCAGAUACGUAACCGGUAAGAAAGCAGAGAGCCAAAAUUCCUCUAAGACAUAAUUCGUGUAUUCUCUGCAUGUGUGUAAAUUAUGAUACCACAGACACUGCACUUACUAUUGCCGUCCUCCAUCUUCUGAGACAGGCCUGAGAACAGUUUAUCCCAUGUAACUUUGAUGCUUUCAACAACUGGACCCAUGGCUGGGUAACUCAAUAAGUAAGAGUCCCAUAUUAACAAGCAAAGAAUAGGAAACAGUUGUUUCCAAACAUGGCUGCCUAGUAGAACCACCUGGACAGGUUGUUAAAAUUCCCUACUCCAGUGUUGUAGAUCUUGAUCUUGGUAAUCAUUCUACAAUGUAUAUG